CCCCAGUUGUACCACACUUCCAUGUAGGCUCAUCAUAUGGCAGUUUUACCACACUUCCAUGUAGGCUCAUCAUAUGGCAGUUUACCAGUUUUACCACACUUCCAUGUAGGCUCAUCAUAUGGCAGUUUACCAGUUUUACCACACUUCCAUGUAGGCUCAUCAUAUGGCAGUUUACCAGUUUUACUACACUUCCAUGUAGGCUCAUCAUAUGGCAGUUUACCAGUUUUACCACACUUCCAUGUAGGCUCAUCAUAUGGCAGUUUACCAGUUUUACCACACUUCCAUGUAGGCUCAUCAUAUGGCAGUUUACCAGUUUUACUACACUUCCAUGUAGGCUCAUCAAAUGGCAGUUUACCAGUUUUACUACACUUCCAUGUAGGCUCAUCAAAUGGCAGUUUACCAGUUUUAC
rnacentral:lncRNA from 1 species